GGACGAACGCUGGCGGCGUGCUUAACACAUGCAAGUCGAACGGAAAGGCCCUGCUUUUGUGGGGUGCUCGAGUGGCGAACGGGUGAGUAACACGUGAGUAACCUGCCCUUGACUUUGGGAUAACUUCAGGAAACUGGGGCUAAUACCGGAUAGGAGCUCCUGCUGCAUGGUGGGGGUUGGAAAGUUUCGGCGGUUGGGGAUGGACUCGCGGCUUAUCAGCUUGUUGGUGGGGUAGUGGCUUACCAAGGCUUUGACGGGUAGCCGGCCUGAGAGGGUGACCGGCCACAUUGGGACUGAGAUACGGCCCAGACUCCUACGGGAGGCAGCAGUGGGGAAUAUUGCACAAUGGGCGGAAGCCUGAUGCAGCAACGCCGCGUGCGGGAUGACGGCCUUCGGGUUGUAAACCGCUUUCGCCUGUGACGAAGCGUGAGUGACGGUAAUGGGCAAAGAAGCACCGGCUAACUACGUG
rnacentral:rRNA from 1 species